rnacentral:lncRNA from 1 species
CCCUCGCUGCUGAGGGAAGGAGGUGAGCAGCCUUCCUCUACGCAGACCCUUCCUCUACGCAGACCCUUCCUCUCUGCCACAGACCACGCAAGGACUGAAAUUUCUAAACUAUGGAAAAUCAAGGCAGGAGCACGAGGGUAACUCGCCCAAGGUGAGAAGACAAGAGACAACUGGCACACACCUGGCACUCACCUGGUCCCCAGCCACGCUUCAUGCUCAGAAGCCGCCUGUAUGGAGAACUGACAUUGUCACAUUCCAGCCGGAAAAGCGUCACCCAAACCAUGCCCCCGCCUCUUCUGCCUUUCUUCUCCCUCAAGCUCCCAAGGACAGACCUGUGUUUGCCCACCCAGGAAGCCUCCCACCUGCAGCUGAACACUUGGCUCACUCUGUUGCUGUGCUCACCUGCAG